rnacentral:lncRNA from 1 species
UUUUUUUUUUUUUUAGGGCUGCUUCCCACAGCAUAUGAAGGUUCCCAGGCUAGGGGUCAAAUUGGAGCUACAGCUGCCGGUCUCCGCCACAGCCACAGCAAUGCGGGAUCCAAGCUGCAACUGUGACCUACACCACAGCUCACAGCAAUGCCAGAUCCUUAAUCCACUGAGCGAGGCCAGGGAUCGAACCUGCAACCUUAUGGUUCCUAGUCAGAUUCAUUUCCGCUGUGCCACGAUGGAAACUCCUCCCUUUUUAGGAUGUUUCAGAAUUUCCCCAAAUUUCUACAAAGUGUAUCUGUAACUUGAAUAAUCAGAAAAAAAAUUUUUUUCGGAACAAAUAACCAUCGAAAAUAGAUAGUAAACCUUUCUUGCUCUGAACCCAAAGGACUCAGCUAUUAUGCUAUUAGCAUCUUUUUCCUCCCACACAAGGUUCACUCUAUGUAAAGGUAAAAAAAAAAAAAAUCACCAUAAGACAUACCAAAGGUGACCAUAUAGAUGGAAACUGGAGCACUUCUGAACUUUCGUGGUAAAAAACGUAGUGGUUAAAGACAGUCGCCUUAGACCUGGAAGCACAGGUUUCUUUCCAGACACGGCCUUGGCUGUUUGUCCUUCUGUGAUUUUCCAGGGCUGGUGCAAUGGAGAUCAAGGCCACAUCAGCCUGGACAGCAGAGCUUUGGCUACAGGCAGUGCUGACAGCUGCCUGCAUCGUGACUUUUGUGGAAACCAGGAAAUUACAAGACACCCUUGAGUGAAGCCCGCUGUGGGAGUGACGGUGUGUCUCUCCAGGUCUAGAAGGAGAAUGAGGGCAUUUGUGUUCCUGUCCAGACAGAAGGAGCUGUGGACUUGGAUGAGUCCACAGUUUGCAAGGGCGCCAAUGAUGCUCAUUUCCCCAAGUCGGGUCUGUGAUUCUCAAACUUUAGUUGAGUGUACCAGCCAUCUCUCAGGGCUUGUUGAAAUGUGCACUGGGAGGUUCCUGUUGUGGCGCAGUGGAAACGAAACUGGCUAGUAUCCAUGAGGAUGCGGGUUUGAUCCCUGGCCUUGCUCAGUAGGUUAAGGAUCCAGCGUUGCCAUGAGCUGUGGUGUAGGUCAAAGAUGUGGCUCGGAUCUGUCUGGCAUUGCUGUGGCUGUGGUGUAGGCCAGUGGCUACCACUCCAAUUCGAUCCCUAGCCUGGGAACUCCCAUAUGCUGCAGUUGCGGCCCUAAAAAGCUUAAAAAAAAAAAAAAGUGCAUUGCCAGCUCUGUGCCAGGAAGUGCUGGCUCAGGGGUUCAGGGUUGGGCCUUUGAAUCUCAAUAUUACUGUGAGCCUCCCAGAUGAUGCUUUGGGAAUUUCUCUGUUUCAUUCUUGCAACAUAAGGUAUGCUUCUAGAAUCAGAUUCAGAUCCCUCACACAUCGCUGUAGGCUUGGUGUGAAAUAAGCAUGGCACUAGUUAAUUUCCCAUGUUUGCUUCUGUAAGAUCCUCCUAAAGCUUCGGGGGUCAGCCUUCCCACCUCCACUUUACCCAUGGGAAAACUGGAGCUCAGAGUGUUGGAGUGAUUUAUCAGCAGUCACACAGCCAUAAGCGGUAGAGUUAAGAGUUAGAGCCAAGAAAGGGGGAUUGGACAACCCAGAGGCUCUCAUGUCCCCCCUCCCCUGGCCCCCACGGGGAGAAUAUCUCUAAGAUCCCCUAAUUUGUGAGUCUAACGAGCCAAGGUAUUGAUAACUGGGUCACCUUUCUUUACCAUCCUUCCAGCAUCCUGGCCACAGUCCCACAGAGGUAGCCCUCCCCCCCUUUCAUUUUUUUUGCUUUUUAGGGCCGCAUCCGUGGCAUAUGGAGGUUCCCAGGGUGUAGCCCUAAAAAGUAAAAACAAAGAACAAAAAAAUAAAUAAAAGAGGAGAUUAGGACACAAGCGCAAUUAGAGGGAAGACCACUUGAGUGCACAGGGAGAAGGCCGCCGUCUACAUGCCAAGGAGCAAUGCCUCCGAGGAAACCAACCCUGCUGACACCUUGAUCUGACUUCUGCCUCCAGAACUGUGUGAAAAUAAGUUUCUGUGUUUAACCCACUCAGCUUGUAAUACUUUGUUUCGAUGCCCCAAGAGACUAAUACGGAUGACCUGGUUGUACAAGUUCCACCUGAUUCAAUGUAGGCAGCCCCAGGUGGGCACAGGCGAGCUCCCGAGGCCCACUGGCAACACUGCAUCGGGACAACCUGGAGGUCACAACAAAGAGCUUGCUUGCACUUCUGUCUUUAGCAAGUCUGGGAACACGUUGGGCUGCACAGGGACAGAUUUUAUCAGUGUCCCUAUGGCUUGUAGGAGGGGCAUGCAGAAAGGUGAGGGGGCCGUCAUCUUACUCCUGUGGCUUAAAACACCUCAUCUUCUUACUGUCUACACACCCAACAAAACACCAUUUCGUGAGCCCACUCCAGGCAAUUGUUGAGGAUUCUGGCUGCGUGGGAAAGAAUGUCAGGAUUGAUCAGCCAUAUCUGCUCUGGGCAAGUGGGGGAGGCAUGACAGAUACGUCCAGUCGAUUUGCGGUCUUCUAGAACACAGGGAGCUCCACCUGCACCAAGGAGAAGACAGUGUCUCCAGAGAGAGCAGGAUGUGACAGAGAUGGCCAUACACUUCCAGCACAUCUGGCUAUCAAUGCCACUGUUGCAUGACAAAUAGAUGUCAUCACACCUGCCACCUCUGGUCAACUUGUCACGGCCACCUGAGCAUAGAAAUCCAUGUCCCUAUUCAUACCUAUGGAAAGAACAUCAUAUUGCAAUCCCCAACCUCAGCCACAAGCCUAGAUUGCAGGAGUGGUGGCAGGAUCGCCUGCUUCUCUGACCCAGCUCAAUCUGUCGGGGAAACUCAAGUUCCUUUCUGUCUCGCCACCCCAAGGACAAGGAUGAAAUGCCAUUCUGGAGUCUGUGGGUUUCUAUGGGCCAAGGCACUAGGCCUCAGACCUUUCAGAGGAAGGGUCGGAACACCCCAGGGCCUGACCUCCCCACCUGGGGUAUGCCAACCACGUAGGGUACAAGAGUGUAGCCCGGGGUAGAAGGGCAA